GAUGAAGAACGUAGCGAAAUGCGAUAAGUAGUGUGAAUUGCAGAAUUCAGUGAAUCAUCGAAUCUUUGAACGCACAUUGCGCCCCUUGGUAUUCCAUGGGGCAUGCCUGUUCGAGCGUCAUUUGUACCUUCAAGCUUUGCUUGGUGUUGGGUGUUUGUCUCGCCUUUGCGUGUAGACUCGCCUUAAAAUAAUUGGCAGCCGGCGUAUUGAUUUCGGAGCGCAGUACAUCUCGCGCUUUGCACUCAUAACGACAGCGUCCAAAAGUACAUUUUACACUCUUGACCUCGGAUCAGGUAUGGAUACCCGCUGAACUUAAGCAUAACAAUAAGCGGAGGA
rnacentral:misc_RNA from 1 species